AUUGAACGCUGGCGGCAUGCCUUACACAUGCAAGUCGAACGGUAACAGGUCUUCGGACGCUGACGAGUGGCGAACGGGUGAGUAAUACAUCGGAACGUGCCCAGUCGUGGGGGAUAACUACUCGAAAGAGUAGCUAAUACCGCAUACGAUCUGAGGAUGAAAGCGGGGGACCUUCGGGCCUCGCGCGAUUGGAGCGGCCGAUGGCAGAUUAGGUAGUUGGUGGGAUAAAAGCUUACCAAGCCGACGAUCUGUAGCUGGUCUGAGAGGACGACCAGCCACACUGGGACUGAGACACGGCCCAGACUCCUACGGGAGGCAGCAGUGGGGAAUUUUGGACAAUGGGCGAAAGCCUGAUCCAGCAAUGCCGCGUGCAGGAUGAAGGCCUUCGGGUUGUAAACUGCCUUUGUACGGAACGAAAAAGCUCCUUCUAAUACAGGGGGCCCAUGACGGUACCGUAAGAAUAAGCACCGGCUAACUACGUGCCAGCCGCCGCCGUAA
rnacentral:rRNA from 1 species